rnacentral:sRNA from 1 species
AUGUACCCACGUACACUCCGGUUCUUCCGCGCCGUCCGCACCCACCUGACGACUGCUCGCUACGUUUUGUUAGCC